UGGACCUGGGAGGAGUGGAGUAGCCGACUUGCAGAGUGUGGGCGUUUAUUUUCAUCCCAGAGAUGAACGCAGGUUUUUUUUUUUGGUUUUUUUUAUUGUUUCAGACACAAUAUUUUAUUCUCCCUGGUACAUUUCAUUUAACUUUCUAAGUUUCUACUUUUUAUUUCCCUCUUUUAUCUCAUUAUCAGGUUCAUAUCCCAAAGGCUGAGGGAGACAAAUCACCAUGAGUCAUCUGUCACCUGUCAUCAAGUCACCAGGUGUCACCUGUUUUAAUUGGUCCACUUCUCAUCUUUUGAGUGAAAUUCACAAGAAAAUCUUUAAGUUUCAACAAUUACAUCCUGUAAGAAACCUUUCUCAACUUCCCAACAAUCUUGUGAAGAAGCAGAAUUGGCAGAGAGUCUCCACUGGCCAAAGAAGCACCCCUUCAGCAGGUUUCUUUAUGGAUUUUAGUAGCAGUCAGUAGCUCCUUAGAGGACCAUAGACGUGGCUUGGAUUCUGGCUUUCUUCAUCAUAAAGUCAUUCAUCAUCUCUCUUUGACUUUAGACUCCCAUGCCUAUAAAAUGGAACUGAGAAAGCCUAACAUGGAAAGUGUAAGAUUUAGUGAGAUAAAAGUAUCACAAGGAAACACACUAAUACUAUAGUUAUUUUUGCUUACUGUUCUCAACACUCCUACACUUCAAAUAAUCAGGCUCGGACUAUUGGCCUCGAUUGCUGUACUGAUAAGACAUUGGCCACCAUCUUCUGGAUACUUCCUCUGGGAGGCACUCAGCAAAGUCAUGCAGGGCAUUCUGGACUGAGCUCCUUCUG
rnacentral:lncRNA from 1 species